rnacentral:rRNA from 1 species
AUUGAACGCUGGCGGCAGGCCUAACACAUGCAAGUCGAGCGGAUGAAGGGAGCUUGCUCCUGGAUUCAGCGGCGGACGGGUGAGUAAUGCCUAGGAAUCUGCCUGGUAGUGGGGGAUAACGUGCGGAAACGGGCGCUAAUACCGCAUACGUCCUGAGGGAGAAAGUGGGGGAUCUUCGGACCUCACGCUAUCAGAUGAGCCUAGGUCGGAUUAGCUAGUUGGUGGGGUAAAGGCCUACCAAGGCGACGAUCCGUAACUGGUCUGAGAGGAUGAUCAGUCACACUGGAACUGAGACACGGUCCAGACUCCUACGGGAGGCAGCAGUGGGGAAUAUUGGACAAUGGGCGAAAGCCUGAUCCAGCCAUGCCGCGUGUGUGAAGAAGGUCUUCGGAUUGUAAAGCACUUUAAGUUGGGAGGAAGAGCAGUAAGUUAAUACCUUGCUGUUUUGACGUUACCAACAGAAUAAGCACCGGCUAACUUCGUG